UACGUAGGGGGCAAGCGUUGUCCGGAAUCAUUGGGCGUAAAGAGCGCGUAGGCGGCCCUGUAAGUCCGCUGUGAAAGUCAAGGGCUCAACCCUUGAAUGCCGGUGGAUACUGUCGGGCUAGAGUGCGGAAGAGGCGAGUGGAAUUCCUGGUGUAGCGGUGAAAUGCGCAGAUAUCAGGAGGAACACCAAUUGCGAAGGCAGCUCGCUGGGACGUGACUGACGCUGAGACGCGAAAGCGUGGGGAGCAAACAGG
rnacentral:rRNA from 1 species